rnacentral:rRNA from 1 species
CAGGCUUAACACAUGCAAGUCGAGGGGCAGCAUUUUAGUUUGCUUGCAAACUGAAGAUGGCGACCGGCGCACGGGUGAGUAACACGUAUCCAACCUGCCGAUAACUCCGGAAUAGCCUUUCGAAAGAAAGAUUAAUACCGGAUAGCAUACGAAUAUCGCAUGAUAUUUUUAUUAAAGAAUUUCGGUUAUCGAUGGGGAUGCGUUCCAUUAGUUUGUUGGCGGGGUAACGGCCCACCAAGACAACGAUGGAUAGGGGUUCUGAGAGGAAGGUCCCCCACAUUGGAACUGAGACACGGUCCAAACUCCUACGGGAGGCAGCAGUGAGGAAUAUUGGUCAAUGGGCGAGAGCCUGAACCAGCCAAGUAGCGUGAAGGAUGAAGGCUCUAUGGGUCGUAAACUUCUUUUAUAUGGGAAUAAAGUUUUCCACGUGUGGAAUUUUGUAUGUACCAUAUGAAUAAGGAUCGGCUAACUCCGUGCCAGCAGCCGCGGUAAUACGGAGGAUCCGAGCGUUAUCCGGAUUUAUUGGGUUUAAAGGGAGCGUAGGUGGAUUGUUAAGUCAGUUGUGAAAGUUUGCGGCUCAACCGUAAAAUUGCAGUUGAAACUGGCAGUCUUGAGUACAGUAGAGGUGGGCGGAAUUCGUGGUGUAGCGGUGAAAUGCUUAGAUAUCACGAAGAACUCCGAUUGCGAAGGCAGCUCACUAGACCGUCACUGACACUGAUGCUCGAAAGUGUGGGUAUCAAACAGGAUUAGAUACCCUGGUAGUCCACACAGUAAACGAUGAAUACUCGCUGUUUGCGAUAUACAGUAAGCGGCCAAGCGAAAGCAUUAAGUAUUCCACCUGGGGAGUACGCCGGCAACGGUGAAACUCAAAGGAAUUGACGGGGGCCCGCACAAGCGGAGGAACAUGUGGUUUAAUUCGAUGAUACGCGAGGAACCUUACCCGGGCUUAAAUUGCAACAGAAUAUAUUGGAAACAGUAUAGCCGUAAGGCUGUUGUGAAGGUGCUGCAUGGUUGUCGUCAGCUCGUGCCGUGAGGUGUCGGCUUAAGUGCCAUAACGAGCGCAACCCUUAUCUUUAGUUACUAACAGGUGAUGCUGAGGACUCUAGAGAGACUGCCGUCGUAAGAUGUGAGGAAGGUGGGGAUGACGUCAAAUCAGCACGGCCCUUACGUCCGGGGCUACACACGUGUUACAAUGGGGGGUACAGAAGGCGGCUACCUGGUGACAGGAUGCUAAUCCCAAAAACCUCUCUCAGUUCGGAUCGAAGUCUGCAACCCGACUUCGUGAAGCUGGAUUCGCUAGUAAUCGCGCAUCAGCCAUGGCGCGGUGAAUACGUUCCCGGGCCUUGUACACACCGCCCGUCAAGCCAUGAAAGCCGGGGGUACCUGAAGUACGUAACCGCAAGGAGCGUCCUAGGGUAAAACUGGUAAUUG